AGCUGUAUGGUCUAGUGGUUAGGGCACUAGCUGAGGACUUUGAAGAGCUGGGUUCAAGUCCUGGUGCGGCCA
rnacentral:tRNA from 1 species